ACGACUCCAGGUGUGUUGUGUAUUUUUUCAGAAGUGGCUAAAGGGGAGGAGCGAGCAAGCUUUGACACUGCAAAGCAGCGUCGAGAGGCGCUCGGUGCGCUUUUACGACUAACAAUGUCCUGGUGAAAGUGAGCAAUUUUUGCUUGGACUUGAUGGCCUGAGGUGUUGCUCUGGCCUGGUUGUGCCUUCAGUAACGUGUACGACGGGUCUGCGGUGAUCAUGGCUUCGCUUCUGCACCCCUGUCCAGCUGCCUACUUCGCCUUGUCAAGUAUCGUCCUACUGCUGCUGCCAACCACUGUCACCGCGUCUCAGGGCGACAAGGAGCCAGUCUAUCGAGACUGUGUGAAGCAGUGUGUUCGCACGAACUGUACCGGGGCCCGAUUGAGAGGUUUUCAGUCUAUCCAGCCGCGGUACAUGGCACUGACAGGCUGGACAUGUCGUGAUGACUGCCGCUACCAGUGCAUGUGGACCACAGUGGGGCUGUACCAGGCUGAAGGGUACAGUGUGCCCCAAUUCCAUGGCAAGUGGCCAUUUGCACGAUUCCUGUGCUUUGAAGAGCCGGCAUCUGCCCUGGCCUCGCUGCUGAAUGGCCUGGCCUGCUUACUGAUGCUCCUGCGUUACCGCAGUGCUGUACCACGCCAGAGCCCCAUGUACCACACCAUCACCGCCUUCUCCCUGGUGUCUCUGAAUGCCUGGUUUUGGUCCACAGUGUUCCAUACCCGUGACACCUAUCUCACAGAGAAAAUGGACUACUUCUGUGCAUCAGCUGUCAUCCUGUACUCCAUUUACCUGUGCUGUGUCAGGACCCUUGGGCUGCGCAGGCCGGGUGUGUCUAGUGUGGUGGGAGUCCUGUUGAUCCUGGUUUUCACCUCCCACGUCUCCUAUCUCACCUUUGUCAGCUUUGACUAUGGCUAUAACAUGGCCGCCAAUGCCACCAUUGGAAUGGUGAACCUGCUGUGGUGGCUGUGCUGGUGCUGGCAGAAUCGGCGCACACUCCCAUACUGGUGGAAGUGUGGCGCUGUGGUGGUGCUGCUGCACGGCCUGGCCCUCCUGGAGCUGCUGGACUUCCCCCCACUCCUCUGGGUGCUGGACGCUCACGCCGUCUGGCACCUCAGCACCGUGCCCGUCCACUUCCUCUUUUACAGUUUCUUAAUAGAUGACAGCCUGCACCUACUCAACACAGAGAAGGCUGGGGUUAAGCUGGAGUAGGAGCCAAGACACAUUUCCCUGCCUCUUCCUGCGCACUCCUCUGAUCAGGGCAGCCAGCACCAUAAGGGGGCAGAACUCAACCGACAUUGCAGUUUGCACUUUUCUCUGCUGUGUAUUGAAUUCUGUUGAUAGAUUUCAUUUUCUUUCUUUUUUUUAAGAUUUGUAUUUAUCAUGACUUUAUUGAACAUUGCAUUCACUAAGCUUUGCCUUGUAGAGACUACUCCAACAGAGUCCCAAACAGUUAGCCAAACAGUGUUAUAAAGACAGCGUGUGCUGUGAGGGAACAGAGAACUGGCUUUAAAAUGAAAAGCUGUCUGAGACAGGCUGGGCUCAACCCAACUCCACAUUACUGCACCUCUGGUAGAUCUCACUCCACUGCAUUUAGCCAAUAGAGGCCUGUAGGCGUAUCUACCUUUCAAAAGGCUGUAACACAAUGCUCAAAGAGUCAGUGUUGCAUGAGAUAGCAGUGGUAUAAUGUGGGGACUGGAUAAGUACUAAUGCUUCCCUCUACCAAAAUAUGCGGAUGUCUUUUCUUUGCCAUAUGCAGUGAAGGCUUAGACACUCAUAAACAAGCAUUGCCUUUGUUAAUUGCCCCAUCCUUAUCUGGUUGAAUUCCCUGUCUAUAUUUUAUUGCCUGGAUCAAUUUUAAGUUGGCAAAAGAAGGAUGAAGUAUCAAAGAGUGAUAGUAGUAGUUGGAUGCAGUUUUUCAUUGUAGGUUUUGUAAAUGAACGAAAUGGGCUACUGAAAUUGAGAAAAUGAUUUUUUAGGUAGUACUAAAACCAACCAAUAGAGGGCAUGCAAUAGCCUUUGCUCUGCAAAACGCAGGAGAUAGUGAAGAAUAAGGUGCCUUUUAAUUUAGGGGUGAGUCAGCAGCCUCCUUAGAUGAGGAUUGUUAGGGCCACAUGGACUAACUGGGGUCUCUCUUGCCCUCCCUCUUUCAUUUUUUUGCUUGAAUUUUGCUGCUUUAUUCCAUUGAGAGGUUGUGGUAUCAUUUUUCUAACUUUUGUUGUGAUUGUUUUAAUGAUUAUUACCAUUUGUGCUUUGUUUGCUGUUUUGCUCUGGUUGAUUUUGAGUUCUUUGGGGUGGGUUAGGGGUUAAAAUAUGGAUAUUCAUUUUAUUCACAUUCACCUGGAUGGCCUUUCUGUUUGUACAAGAAGAGAGAGACUUUAAACCUUUUCAGGUGUAGGGAGCACAAGGGUGACAGUGGUAGAGGAAAGGAAGGGCAGAUUUGGAAGAAAACCAAAUGCAGAGGUGAAAUAAAGAGAACAGGAACAGAGUAUAAAAAUGAGGGGGAGACAAAGUGAGGGAUACAGUGAGUAGAGAAUGAAAGAGUACAGGUAUAACUAUAAUUGAUCCUGGUUUGGCAUCCCAGAAAACUAACUUUGUUUGCAUACGCAUGUAUGAAAGAGCAAGGGAGAUAGUCAUUCUAUGUUAACAUUGUGUUCUUUGCAUGCCACAUACCUGUAGUAUGCUCUCUGUCACUGACCAGUUUUACCUCAUAUUUGAAGUUCUGUCCUGUCAAACACGUUUGUGCCUGACGGUCUCACAGGGAACUGUGUGUUUGUGGGUGUAGCGUUAUGUGUUAGGAAACCUCAGUUCUAUUGUUCUCAGAAAUAUUAAUGUGAAACAUUUACGUUGAGUUUGCCCACAUUGUCUUCUGUUAAUUUUUGAAAACAAAAGUGCCAUUUUCCUUUGUUUUCUUUGUUUUUCUGCCUUUUUGAAGUUUCACUGAGGGGGAGUUAUGAAUAGGAAGGAAAUCUCUCACACGAGAGAAGACAACAGAACCACAGGAAAAAUAAGAAUAUAUAGUGGUAUAGUAGUCUCUGAAUUCACAGUGGCUGGGUUAUAGUUAAUGACAGUGUGCACUGUGUCCUUGGAUGUGUGCAAGCUUUGUGGGACCAGAUAUUUUGAUGAUAUGACACUGUUGUGAUCUGUGGAUAAUGGAGAGUAGGUUGUCAUAUGUGGUUUGUCCUACAGUGCAUCAUAACAUUGGCCUACUUAAUGUGUUUUUGACAAAGAUUGUGAAGCAGAUUGAUAUCUGUGUGUGUGUGUGUGUGUGUG